rnacentral:rRNA from 1 species
GGCUCCUUGAGCUGUAUUAAUAAGGAGUCGAGCCUGCCCAGUGAGUUUUUAACGGCCGCGGUACUCUGACCGUGCAAAGGUAGCAUAAUCAUUUGCCUUAUAAUUGAAGGCUAGUAUGAAUGGUUUGACGAGAGCAAUACUGUCUCCCUCUUAUUUUUUAGAACUUGACUUUUAGGUGAAGAGGCCUAAGUUAGAUUGAAGGACAAGAAGACCCUGUCGAGCUUAAAAGAAUUUGCAGAAGUUAAUAUUAAAUAAGAUAAAUAAUCUGCUAAGCUUUUUAGUUGGGGCGACUAAGGAACAAAAAAAGCUUCUUAAACAAAAUAGAUAUAUAAAUAUAGAUCCGGUUUUACCGAUUUAAAAAAUUAGCUACCGCAGGGAUAACAGCAUAAUCUCUUCUGAGAGACCUAAUCGAAGAAGGGGGUUGUGACCUCGAUGUUGGACUAGAAUAACCUAAAGAUGCAGAAGUCUUUUAGGGUCGGUCUGUUCGACCGUUAAAAUUCU